GCCAGACAUGCGCACUGGGCAUCAAAAGCGCAGAUAGAGGCAAAACAAUGUCACAAAAAAGGACAUAUCCUUCAGGUGCAGAAAAAAGGAAGAAGAAGAAAGUGGAAGAGGAGAAAAAUGCCAUGAUAAAGGAGCAUUGUUAAAAUACUUUGGAGGCACAGAAUCAGCCCAGAGCCAGUCCACAUCCUCAGGCUCAACUGUGAGUGAUGAAUCAGGUCCAUCUCCAUCCUCUACAGUGCUCUCUCACACACCUCCAUCCUCUGUGCCCACCGUCCCCUCCAUGUCUGAAACCACAUCUGAUUUAUGU